UCUAAGAUAAAAUCUUCAGUCUGGACAUCCCCAUUGACAUAAAGGGACCCAUCCCGAACCUGUACAAAACCAGAAGAAAACAAUUUAUGGAAAGCACCUCCAAUUGUUACAGGUCCCAUAGAUACAUUGGAUUGUUAUGUAGUACAAAGUUCAAUUCUCAAGUGAACUAGGCUCAAUGCCAUAUCAUUUAUAAAUGGCAGGCUACACAUGAUCUAGUUGACAGGAGGGGGGUUAGCAGAAAUCUCCAAUGAGACAGAUACCGAAAAGAUGAUUGCAAGAGCACCUCUCAUUUGUCAAUUCUAACCACAAGCUCCAUAACACAUAAAGACAGUUAUGUAAAAGAGUUGCACCAGAGAAAAAAAAAAUAACAAUCAAAGUGAAGUAGAGAAAAGGUUUUGUCAGCUUCUUGGGAGAGAGAAAGUAAUAAAUGUAAUAAUAAGGACAGGAUUGCAAGUUAAGAAACC
rnacentral:lncRNA from 1 species